GAUGAACGCUGGCGGCGUGCCUAAUACAUGCAAGUCGAGCGAACGGACGAGAAGCUUGCUUUUCUGAUGUUAGCGGCGGACGGGUGAGUAACACGUGGAUAACCUACCUAUAAGACUGGGAUAACUUCGGGAAACCGGAGCUAAUACCGGAUAAUAUUUUGAACCGCAUGGUUCAAAAGUGAAAGACGGUCUUGCUGUCACUUAUAGAUGGAUCCGCGCUGCAUUAGCUAGUUGGUAAGGUAACGGCUUACCAAGGCAACGAUGCAUAGCCGACCUGAGAGGGUGAACGGCCACACUGGAACUGAGACACGGUCCAGACUCCUACGGGAGGCAGCAGUAGGGAAUCUUCCGCAAUGGGCGAAAGCCUGACGGAGCAACGCCGCGUGAGUGAUGAAGGUCUUCGGAUCGUAAAACUCUGUUAUUAGGGAAGAACAUAUGUGUAAGUAACUGUGCACAUCUUGACGGCACCUAAUCAGAAAGCCACGGCUAACUACGUG
rnacentral:rRNA from 1 species